rnacentral:ncRNA from 1 species
ACUACUAGGGGUGCCCUUUCGGGCUGAGAAUUACCCUUAGAACCUGAUCUAGUUAAUACUAGCGUAGGGAAGUAGUCAAAAU